rnacentral:rRNA from 1 species
UACGGAGGGUGCGAACGUUAAUCGGAAUCACUGGGCGUAAAGCGCGCGUAGGCGGUCUGUUAAGUGGGAUGUGAAAUCCCCGGGCUUAACCUGGGAAUUGCAUUUCAAACUGGCCGACUAGAGUACGGUAGAGGGAGGUAGAAUUUCCUGUGUAGCGGUGAAAUGCGUAGAUAUAGGAAGGAAUACCAGUGGCGAAGGCGGCCUCCUGGAUCGAUACUGACACUGAGGCACGAAGGCCAGGGGAGCAAACGGG